GUCUCUCAUCGUCAAGGAGACAUCCAAGUUGUCUUUGUACAGCGCCAGGCUGCACUUGGGAAUCCCUCCGAGACGAACAGAAAGCCUUACCCAGCACGCCAGGGCAAUAUAUCACCACUUGAAGCGCCUUCGGUGCGCCCGCGUCACCGGCAUCAAGUACACCAGGCCGGCCGCUGGUUGCCCUUCUCAACCUGCACGGGCUGCCGAAGAACCUGGCGGAGCAGGCAAGGGAUGAUCACGAGGCCCUGGAACUGGAGCCGCUGUUCCACUUGGCCAUCAUCAAUGGUUACACCGUCCUUGAGAACUGUGGCAAAAGGGCCCUCAGGGAGUACAUUCACGAACUCAAAUUCGCCCUCCCUGAUGAUGAUGAGCCUGGACGAGCCCGAGGACGAUGGAGUUGAGGGGCAGGGACCACAACAACCGCGCGCCUCCCUCUUUCAGCGCUUGAUGCAGUUCUUUGGACUCCUCUUGUGGUGAUCCAGUGGUCGAAGGCAAUUCCUAAAUUUAGCAAGAUUCUUUUAACCAAUGCAUUCAUUAAAAAAGCCAAGAAAAAUUAUUUUCUACUUUUUUUAAUUUUAAACAUUUUUGAAGUAAAUUUUGAUACUUUUCUUACAAAUAUGUUCCAGUUUGUAUUAAAAAUUAAAUAUGUAUAAUUAAAUUUCAUUUGAAUUUUUUUUUUUUUUUUAAUAAUGUGGCUUGCAGUUUUCCAUUUAAAUUAUCAAAAUAAAUAUGGUGCGACAAGUGGUAUUGACAUUUCACACCUUUUGACUGCG